rnacentral:rRNA from 1 species
GAUGAACGCUGGCGGCGUGCCUAAUACAUGCAAGUCGAGCGAACGGACGAGAAGCUUGCUUCUCUGAUGUUAGCGGCGGACGGGUGAGUAACACGUGGAUAACCUACCUAUAAGACUGGGAUAACUUCGGGAAACCGGAGCUAAUACCGGAUGAUAUUUUGAACCGCAUGGUUCAAAAGUGAAGGACGGUCUUGCUGUCACUUAUAGAUGGAUCCGCGCUGCAUUAGCUAGUUGGUAAGGUAACGGCUUACCAAGGCAACGAUGCAUAGCCGACCUGAGAGGGUGAUCGGCACCACGGGAACUGAGACACGGUCCAGACUACUACGGGAGGCAGCAGGAGGGAAUGUUCAGCAAUGGGCGAAAGCCUGACGGAGCAACGCCGCGUGAGUGAUGAAGGUCUUCGGAUCGUAAAACUCUGUUAUGAGGGAAAAACAUAUGUGUAAGUAACUGUGCACAUCUGGACGGUACCUAAUCAGAAAGCCACGGCUAACUACGU